GGUUUUAUAUUCAAUUAUGAUUUUAAAUUGCAAAUUUAAAGGUGUAUUUUAAUACUAAGGCUU
rnacentral:tRNA from 1 species